rnacentral:rRNA from 1 species
CCCUUAGAUGUUCUGGGCCGCACACGCGCUACACUGAAGGAGGCAGCGUGUACUCCUGGAUCGAAAGAUUUGGGUAACCCGCGAAUCUCCUUCGUGCUAGGGAUUGAGGUUUGCAAUUAUCCUUCAUGAACGAGGAAUUCCCAGUAAGUGCAAGUCAUAAGCUUGCGCUGACUACGUCCCUGCCCUUUGUACACACCGCCCGUCGCUACUACCGAUUGAAUGAUUUAGUGAGGACUUCGGACUGGGACCGAUGCGGCUUUCGGGCUGCGUCGGUAUUCUGGAAAGAUGUCCAAACUGUAUCAUUUAGAGGAAGUAAAGUCGUAACA